ACCGACACAGGUGGUCAGGUAGAGUAUACCAAGGCGCUUGAGAGAAGUAUCCUGAAGGAACUCGGCAAAUUGCCUCCGUACCUUCGGAAGAAGGAGGCCCCAUAUCGACGCAAGUCUUUGUGGGGGGCACAGGCCAGGGGGUAGCGACUGUUUAGCAAAAACACAGCACUCUGCUAAGUCGGCUUCAAGACGACGUAUAGGGUGUGACGCCUGCC
rnacentral:rRNA from 14 species